UACGUAGGGUGCGAGCGUUGUCCGGAAUUAUUGGGCGUAAAGGGCUCGUAGGCGGUUUGUCGCGUCGGGAGUGAAAACACCGGGCUUAACUCGGUGCUUGCUUCCGAUACGGGCAGACUAGAGGCAUGCAGGGGAGAACGGAAUUCCUGGUGUAGCGGUGAAAUGCGCAGAUAUCAGGAGGAACACCGGUGGCGAAGGCGGGUCUCUGGGCCGAUACUGACGCUGAGGAGCGAAAGCGUGGGGAGCGAACGG
rnacentral:rRNA from 1 species